GAUGAACGCUGGCGGCGUGCCUAAUACAUGCAAGUCGAGCGAACAGACGAGGAGCUUGCUCCUCUGACGUUAGCGGCGGACGGGUGAGUAACACGUGGAUAACCUACCUAUAAGACUGGGAUAACUUCGGGAAACCGGAGCUAAUACCGGAUAAUAUAUUGAACCGCAGGGUUCAAUAGUGAAAGACGGUUUUGCUGUCACUUAUAGAUGGACCCGCGCCGCAUUAGCUAGUUGGUAAGGUAACGGCUUACCAAGGCAACGAUGCGUCGCCGACCUGAGAGGGUGCUCGGCCACCCUGGAACUGAGACACGGUCCAGCCUCCUACGGGAGGCAGCAGUAGGGAAUCUUCCGCAAUGGGCGAAAGCCUGACGGAGCAACGCCGCGUGAGUGAUGAAGGUCUUCGGUUCGUAAAACUCUGUUAUUAGGGAAGAACAAAUGUGUAAGUAACUAUGCACGUCUUGACGGUACCUAAUCAGAAAGCCACGGCUAACUACGU
rnacentral:rRNA from 1 species